ACGAACGCUGGUGGCGUGCUUAACACAUGCAAGUCGAACGGGAUUUAGUAAACAGAAGCCUCGGUGGAAGAUUACUAAUGAGAGUGGCGAACGGGUGAGUAACGCGUGAGCAACCUGCCUAUGACAGUGGGAUAGCCUCGGGAAAUCGGGAUUAAUACCGCAUAAAAUCGUAGAAACACAUGUUUUAACGGUCAAAGAUUUAUCGGUCAUAGAUGGGCUCGCGUCUGAUUAGCUAGUUGGUGAGAUAACAGCCCACCAAGGCGACGAUCAGUAGCCGGUCUGAGAGGAUGAACGGCCACAUUGGAACUGAGACACGGUCCAAACUCCUACGGGAGGCAGCAGUGGGGAAUAUUGCACAAUGGGGGAAACCCUGAUGCAGCGACGCCGCGUGAACGAAGAAGGUAUUCGUAUCGUAAAGUUCUGUCCUAUGGGAAGAUAAUGACAUUACCAUAGAAGAAAGCUCCGGCUAAAUACGUG
rnacentral:rRNA from 1 species